rnacentral:rRNA from 1 species
UACGAAGGGGGCGAGCGUUGUUCGGAAUCACUGGGCGUAAAGGGCGCGUAGGCGGCCCUCUUAGUCGCGUGUGAAAGCCCCGGGCUCAACCUGGGAACGGCGCGCGAAACGGGAGGGCUGGAGUUCGGGAGAGGAGAGUGGAAUUCCGAGUGUAGAGGUGAAAUUCGUAGAUAUUCGGAAGAACACCAGUGGCGAAGGCGACUAACUGGACGUGUAUUGACGCUGAGGUACGAAAGCGUGGGGAGCAAACAGG